rnacentral:tRNA from 3 species
GCGGGCAUGGUUUAGUGGCAGAACACCUGCCUUCCAAGCAGGAAAUGGGAGUUCGAUUCUCCCUGCCCGCA